GAUCUCAAGGGAAACAAAGAACUCUGAAUGAAGUGUGUGCUUGAUGUUUCCUCCAGCCGCACUGUUCCUCAGCCUCUUCUACAGAUUCUCAGAGUCAUUGCUUCACUUUUCUGCCAGUUUUUAUCCGCUCUAUUUAACACAAAGCCCUGCUACCCCAUUCCGUGGCAUGAUUUCACACUCCAGAAAAGGACCGAAGCAGCACGGUUGGCUCGAUUGAGUGUGUGAUGUAUGCCGCUGCAGGAAACGGCCGGGAGAUUAGCAGGUUGACAUGGUGACAAACCCCUCUAACUGCAGCCUUUUGAUCCUUCUACAUCCUCUCGCUAAUGUCAGACACGAGAAAAGAGCUCGAAGGAAAUCCGCCAGGGAGAUGAGACGACUCUGAGGAAGCUGAGAACGGUGGGCUUCUUUCAUUAAAAGAGGGGAAAAGGGAAAAGGGAGAGCUGGCUGGCCAAAAGACCCGAGGCUGAGAAAAGAGGACAGAACACACUCGAGUCUUUGGCAGGAGUGUCUGGCAUCCACAGCACAGCGCAGAACAGCUGCCCACUGCCUCUGGUUGUUGGGUCGAGAACAUUUCUGGGCCGGAGAACCGAUGCCACCCUGUCGUGAUGUUGGAACUGCCAAGAAAAUAUUGACUUUCAAACCAGUUUGAAUUAUCGCGUGCUGGUCACCGUGGUAGAGGACGCGUCCAGGUCACGGGAGACGACUCGUUUCACAGGAGCGUUUGGACCAAUCAACCCUGGAGCUUGGAUUGUGGGUUGAAAAUUAUUCUGCUUCUGGAAGCUUGUGGAAGCCCAACAGAGUUGAAAAUGGAUUAGUUGGCUAAGGAGGAAGCAGAUUUUCUCAUCAGCGCCAGUAAGCAAAUACACUGUGCCUCUGAGACUAGAGUAGAUUUGGGGUAAUAAAGCAGUCUUGUUGCAAGUCACAGCUUUUCCCUGAACCAAUCACAGUUCGGAAACGGAGGG